CCUACGGGGGGCAGCAGUAGGGAAUCUUCCACAAUGGGCGCAAGCCUGAUGGAGCAACACCGCGUGAGUGAAGAAGGGUUUCGGCUCGUAAAGCUCUGUUGUUGGAGAAGAACGUGCGUGAGAGUAACUGUUCACGCAGUGACGGUAUCCACCCAGAAAGUCCCGGCUAACUCCGUGCCAGCAGCCGCGGUAAUACGUAGGUGGCAAGCGUUAUCCGGAUUUAUUGGGCGUAAAGGGAGCGCAGGCGGUUGCUUAGGUCUGAUGUGAAAGCCUUCGGCUUAACCGAAGAAGUGCAUCGGAAACCGGGGAACUUGAGUGCAGAAGAGGAGAGUGGAACUCCAUGUGUAGCGGUGGAAUGCGUAGAGAUAUGGAAGAACACCAGUGGCGAAGGCGGCUGUCUGGGCUGCAACUGACGCUGAGGCUCGAAAGCAUGGGUAGCGAACAGGAUUAGAUACCCUGGUAGUC
rnacentral:rRNA from 1 species